CCGGACAGACAAGAGAAUGAACCCAUACUUAAGCAGGGAGAGGGCCGCCGCCUCCUUCAAUCCCGAGACCAUCACCUACAUCCUGGAUGGCAGCCCCGAGAGGACCCACAGGAGGAGAGAAAUUGAGGGCCUGGUUCUCAAUGACCCCAGCUUCCAGCAUGAAGACCCCAACUUUCUGUCACGCAGUGAGCGGUACGAAGUGGCCAUCAAGAAGAGUGCCCUGAUGGUUCAGAAGAUGAGGGAACAUGGCAUCUCCGACCCAGAGGAGAUCUACUGGUUCAAAAGAACCUGCCUUGGCUCUCAAACCGACCCCCUGGGCUUACACUUCAGUAUGUUCAGCAACAUGUUAGCCAAUCAAUUGACGGAUUUGCAGAAGCAGAAGUGGUUGCCCCUUGCCAGUCAUCUGCAGGUCAUUGGCACCUAUGCCCAGACAGAGCUGGGACAUGGAACCCACCUCCGAGGGCUGGAGACCACAGCUACCUAUGAUCCAUCCACCCAGGAGUUCAUUCUCAACAGCCCAACUGUUUCUUCUAUCAAAUGGUGGCCUGGAGGAUUGGGAAAGACCUCAAAUCAUGCUGUAGUGCUGGCACAACUUUACACACAAGGAGAAUGUAAAGGGCUUCAAGCUUUUAUAGUGCCUAUCCGCCACAUGGGCACCCAUGAACCUCUUCCAGGUGUGGUGGUUGGAGACAUAGGACCUAAGUUUGGAUAUGAUGAAACAGAUAAUGGGUUCCUUAAGUUUGACAAAGUUCGAAUUCCUCGAGAGAAUAUGCUGAUGAAGUAUGCCAAGGUGGAGCCAGAUGGGACUUACGUGAAGCCACUCAGUGACAAACUGACCUAUGGCACUAUGGUGUUUAUUCGUUCGAUGAUUGUGGGAGACUCUGCACGCAGCCUUUCCCGGGCCUGCACCAUUGCUAUUCGGUAUAGUGCAGUGAGGCACCAGUCAGAGAUCAGAGCUGGAGAGCCAGAACCCCAAAUCCUAGACUUUCAGACUCAGCAAUACAAGUUAUUCCCACUGCUGGCUACAGCAUAUGCCUUCCAGUUUGUGGGAUCCUACAUGAGCCACACUUACCACAGAAUCAGCGCUGAAAUCCAAGCUGGUAACCUGAAUGAACUGCCCGAGCUGCAUGCCCUUUCUGCAGGCUUGAAAGCCUUCACAUCAUGGGCAGCCAAUGCAGGUAUUGAGGAGUGCAGGAUGGCAUGUGGUGGGCAUGGAUACUCCCGUUCCAGUGGGAUACCAGAUAUCUAUGUGACCUUUACUCCUUCAUGCACAUAUGAGGGUGAAAACACAGUGAUGAUGCUGCAGACUGCAAGGUUUUUGGUAAAAAGCUACAUAGCUGUUCUUGCUGGGAAACAACUUGAUGGAACGGUGUCAUACCUCAAUGAUGUUUCCCAGCACCGUGUACAGCCCCACCCUGUUGCUGGCCGAUCCUUUCUCAAGGACAUCAAUGACAUUCAAAAUCUGGUGGAGGCCUACAAACAGCGAGCUGCAUGGUUAGUUGUGGCUGCUGCCAAGAAUGUGAACGCUGACGUGGAAAGCGCAAGGAAGAUGCGCAAGGAAGAUGCAUGGAAUAAGAAUUCUGUAGAUCUUGUCCGAGCUUCAGAGGCACACUGUCAUUAUGUGGUCGUGAGACUCUUUGCAGAAAAGUUGUCUGAGGUUCUCGAUGUGGCUGCUCAUCGUAUUCUGAGCUCUCUCUGCCUGUUCUACGCCCUACAUGGGAUCAGCAAGAACACUGGAGACUUCCUUCAGGCUGGACUUCUGACCGCCCUUCAGGUUGAUCAAGUGCAGCAAAGAGUAAAGGAUCUGCUAGCAGUAAUCCGUCCUAAUGCACUGGCUUUGGUGGAUGCCUUUGAUUACUCAGACACACAACUGGGAUCUGUUCUGGGUAGAUAUGAUGGCAACGUCUAUGAGAAUAUGUUUGAGUGGGCAAAGAAAUCACCACUCAACAAAACACAGGUGCAUGAAUCCUUUCACAAGUACUUGAAACCUUUACAGUCCAAACUGUGAUCCGCCCACCAAUGCCGCUUAACCUGAAACUGGAAACACAAAAAGCAGUUUUCUUUGUUUGAUAACCAACCCUCGAAGUAAUGAAAUUGUUCACCUAAUUUCCAUCAAAUGUUGUUGAUUAGCAAGGGGCCAAAGCAAGGCGUAAGCAAUGGAAUCCCACAUUAACUGAGAUUUUACCAAACCUUUGGCACGGCUUGUUGUUGCUCUAGGUUGGAGACAACCAUAUAGUUGGUAGAGCCAUACCGACCCUUUUAGCCUUUAUAAGAACAACAUUGUUUGUAUAGUGGUUAAUAAACAAAAGUAGGAGCAAUGAUCCAUCUAACCAGCAGAAGCGCCUCUCCAUUAAUGUUAAAAAGAGGUGGAAGUCCAAUUUAUAAUAAACCUUUCAGAAUGAUGUAGCAAUGAUAUUCUAAAGGCCAGAUUUAUCAAUAUGUGAGAUUAGAGCUCACUACAGGAAAAUUUACUGACUUUCUGUUCAUUCCUAUGGGAAUGAAUUGUAUUUAUUGAAUGGUGAAACUCUCACUUUCACCCACUGAUAAAUAUGAUUUCAAAAAUUCCAUAGGUUUGAAUAGAAAAUGGGUGAAUUUUUCUGUGGUGAGCUCUAAUCUCACAUUUUGAUAAAUCUACCUCUAAACUUUCGUCUGGGUCUAGAAUUUGAGCUGUUUACUGUUUGAGUGACAGGCUCACUGAAUUUAGCAACAGGAUAGUAUAAGUAAAAUGGGGGGAGAAGUGCUAAAGAAGAGAAAGAUAAGCAAUACACAGUUAUAAUAGCAUUUGACCCACAUCCACCUGCUUUUAGGGUUACCAGGCACACUUCCAUAGAAACCAAAUGGAAUUUUUAAGUUAUUCUUCGAAGAGAUGCAAAAUAGAAAAGAAUAUAAAAGAGACUUAACUGCACAGUAUAUUGGGAUACAUUUGUCAAUACUAGUGAUGGGCGAAUAAAUUUGCCCGUCGAGAAUUUCUGCGUUUCACUGGCAGCGAAUAAAUUCACGAAAAUUCUACAGCGUCAAAAAAUUUUGGACGCACGUCAGAAUAGUUGUUUGCAUCAAAAUCGCUGAGCGUCAACAAUAUUCAGACACCCAUUGGGGUAAAUUUAUCAAAGAGUGAAGUUCAGCCACUAGAGUGAAAUUCCGCAGCUCUCAAUUCAUUUCUAUGGGAUUUUGAAAGGCGUAUUUAUCAAUGGGCGAAAGUGAAAGUUCACCCUUUGAUAAAUACGCCUGUAAAAAUCCCAUAGAAAUGAAUGGAGAGUGGCGGAAUUUCACUCUAGUGGCGGAACUUCACUAUUAACUUCACUCUUUGAUAAAAUACCCCAUUGACUUUACCGCAGGUGUCAAUUUUCAAGUUUCACAAAUUUUUCACCAUUUCGCGGGAAGUUCCCAAAUAUUCCGUGAAGCGGAACGGCAAAAAUUCUCCCAUCACUAGUCAAUACACUUAAUGUUAUUCUAAAGGAGAGCUUGUACUUUAAGGAUCGCUUUUGACCACAGAAAGUAAGGGAAUAUUUAUCUAAUGGACCUGGAAGUGUUCACUGUAAUGUUUCAAUGUUGUUAUUUGAUGCAUAGCUGAGACUGCCUCAUCAUUAAUAUAAAGAGAGAGAAGUAUGAAAUGUAAUUAAUCUGUUAAUUUUUAUGUAAAGAUAUUAAUAAAGUUGUGUUCUUUCUU